UUGUUCCUGCUGAGUUCCAGGCCUGCUGAGCACUAAACACAGAGCCAAGUGACCCAGCCCCUUCCUGGUGGAGCUCAGAAAUAUCCAAAGAAGCAAAUACAGAAGCAUGCAUACACUUACGUAUUCUGAGGAUUCCUGUGAGGGACAAGUGUGGUGCGCUAGUGCUUCCUGAACUACAAGGCCGUGUGCAUGCUAGUCAAGUGCUCUUCCACCGAGAGACAUCCCCAGCCAUUUGUUUCCUGAGACAUGGUCUUUUGAUGUAGCCCCAAAUUGUCCUGAAACUGGCUGUCCUGCCUCUACUCCUAAAUACUGAGACCACAGGCCUGAAUAGCACCCAAUUCCAUGCUGUCCUCUCCAUGCACAUGAAUGUGAGUGCCUCCUGCAGGGCUGACUGUUGCAUCUUUGUGUAGAAUACAUUUUUUUUUUGCUCUAGUAAAUGAUCCUGAAGUUCUAGGAGACAUUACAUAUCUGCUUCCCUAACAAUCUGUUAUGAAGUGGUAUUGCUAUGUAGUGAUGAUCUUUGCUGGAAGCAAUAACCCUGUUUAGGAUUAAAAUUCAUAAAUCUA